rnacentral:rRNA from 1 species
UACGGCCAUCCCACCCUGGUAACGCCCGAUCUCGUCUGAUCUCGGAAGCUAAGCAGGGUCGGGCCUGGUUAGUACUUGGAUGGGAGACCUCCUGGGAAUACCGGGUGCUGUAGGCU